rnacentral:lncRNA from 1 species
AAGAGCCACACUCACAACCUAGCGGCCUGCCCUGUGCUCCUGGCUCUUAACCUGGCUCUGGAAUCAGAUUAAGGCUGUCACCCGCACGUGCGCGUCCAGGCGCUCGCGCAUGCGCACACCGGGAGGCCGGGGCAGGUGUGGUGGAAGACUGGAGACUGCCUGCGGUCUUGGUGGGAAGUCUCCCAGGGCCCCUGUCUUGUCGGCCGAACGGAGAAGCCGGCAGCAGCUCCUGCCCUUUCGGCCAGACGUGCCUACAGAGCUGCUAUUGUUUCUCUCAGGGGAAAGUCAACCUCCAGAUUUGUGCUUUGCUGGGUAAAUAUAAACAAAAGAAAACUCCGGACUUCCCAUUAGACAUCCUGUUUAUGCUCUUGAUCUCUUCUGACAAAUUAACAGCUCUGUCCCUUCCACAAGCCAUAUUCAUCUCUUCACGUUUGGACCUCACGGUGAUGGGUUGACAACUCCCAAGAGCACUGAAGAAUACAUUUGGCUGUGUUGUCAGAAAGCAAGGAGAUCCAACCAGUCCAUUCUGAAGGAGAUCAGCCCUGGGAUUUCUUUGGAGGGAAUGAUGCUGAAGCUGAACUCCAGUACUUUGGCCACCUCAUGCGAAGAGUUGACUCAUUGGAAAAGACUCUGAUGCUGGGAGGGAUUGGGGGCAGGAGGAGAAGGGGACGACAGAGGAUGAGAUGGCUGGAUGGCAUCACUGACUCGAUGGACGUGAGUCUGAGUGAACUCCGGGAGAUGGUGAUGGACAGGGGGGCCUGGCAUGCUGCGAUUCAAGGGGUUGCAAAGAGUUGGACAUGACUGAAUGACUGAAAUGAAUUGAACUGAACUGAUGUGAAAGCAACAGUGCUUUGUAAUCCUGAAUCAGGAGUUUAUCAAAUUAGAGCUUUCUCAAGUGUCAGAGUCAAUUAGAGGACAAAUUAUUUUCUGGAACAAUACUAAUACAAUGAGGCCAGUGGUCUCAUUUGCUGUCUUGUGUGUGAAAUGAUAUUUUUUACAUGGGUGUAUUUUUAACAGGUCCUUCUUGAGUUUUUGGAUUACCUAUUAAUACUAGUGAAUUUAUUAAUUUACCUAUUAAUACUAGUGAAUAAUACAAAUUUAUAAAAA